rnacentral:rRNA from 1 species
GAUGAACGCUGGCGGCGUGCCUAAUACAUGCAAGUCGAACGCAUCCUUCGGGGUGAGUGGCAGACGGGUGAGUAACGCGUGGGAACGUGCCCUUCAGUUCGGGAUAACCCAGGGAAACUUGGGCUAAUACCGGAUACGUGCGAGAGCAGAAAGAUUUAUCGCUGAAGGAUCGGCCCGCGUCUGAUUAGCUAGUUGGUGGGGUAAUGGCCCACCAAGGCGACGAUCAGUAGCUGGUCUGAGAGGAUGAUCAGCCACAUUGGGACUGAGACACGGCCCAAACUCCUACGGGAGGCAGCAGUGGGGAAUAUUGGACAAUGGGCGCAAGCCUGAUCCAGCCAUGCCGCGUGAGUGAUGAAGGCCUUAGGGUUGUAAAGCUCUUUCGUCCGGGACGAUAAUGACGGUACCGGAAGAAGAAGCCCCGGCUAACUUCGUGCCAGCAGCCGCCGUAA